AGAGUUUGAUCCUGGCUCAGAUUGAACGCUGGCGGCAUGCCUUACACAUGCAAGUCGAACGGCAGCACGGGUGCUUGCACCUGGUGGCGGGUGGCGAACGGGUGAGUAAUGUAUCGGAACGUACCAUUCAGUGGGGGAUAACUAUCCGAAAGGAUAGCUAAUACCGCAUAUUCUGUGAGCAGGAAAGCAGGGGAUCGCAAGACCUUGCGCUGAUUGAGCGGCCGAUAUCAGAUUAGCUAGUUGGUGGGGUAAAAGCCUACCAAGGCGACGAUCUGUAGCGGGUCUGAGAGGAUGAUCCGCCACACUGGAACUGAGACACGGUCCAGACUCCUACGGGAGGCAGCAGUGGGGAAUUUUGGACAAUGGGCGAAAGCCUGAUCCAGCCAUGCCGCGUGAGUGAAGAAGGCCUUCGGGUUGUAAAGCUCUUUCGGCCGGGAAGAAAUCGCAUAGGUUAAUACCCUGUGUGGAUGACGGUACCGGAAUAAGAAGCACCGGCUAACUACGUGCCAGCAGCCGCGGUAAUACGUAGGGUGCGAGCGUUAAUCGGAAUUACUGGGCGUAAAGCGUGCGCAGGCGGUUUUUUAAGACAGGCGUGAAAUCCCCGGGCUUAACCUGGGAACUGCGCUUGUGACUGGAAGGCUAGAGUACGGCAGAGGGGGGUAGAAUUCCACGUGUAGCAGUGAAAUGCGUAGAGAUGUGGAGGAAUACCGAUGGCGAAGGCAGCCCCCUGGGCUAGUACUGACGCUCAUGCACGAAAGCGUGGGGAGCAAACAGGAUUAGAUACCCUGGUAGUCCACGCCCUAAACGAUGUCAACUAGGUGUUGGAAGGGUUAAACCUUUUAGUACCCCAGCUAACGCGUGAAGUUGACCGCCUGGGGGAGUACGGCCGCAAGGUUAAAACUCAAAGGAAUUGACGG
rnacentral:rRNA from 1 species